CUAGUAGCAACUCAAAGGCAACUGUUAUAAGUUUCUGCAAGAAUGCUAGAAAACUCAAAGUAGAUUUCCAAGGACUGUCUUCUUGAUGCUCUCUUUGGCUGCUCAGAUGGGCUACAUGCACUUUGGCACAGUCAAGAUAUAUGGUUCUGAGGCUGCCCUUAUAAACACUUUAACAGAGACGUACGUUUCAAGAUGGGACUAUAAAAAGAGAGGACAUUUUUGUUUCCUCUAAAUUAUGGGGUAGUCAUCACCGUGACCCUAUUUCAGCUUUGAGACAAACUCUAGA